CCGAGAAUAUUCGACAAUGGGCGAAAGCCUGAUCGAGCGAUACCGCGUGGUGGAUGAAGUGCUUCGGCACGUAAACAUCUUUUAUGAGGGAGGAAGUUAUUGACGUUACCUCAUGAAUAAGGGGCUCCUAACUCUGUGCCAGCAGGAGCGGUAAUACAGAGGCCCCAAGCGUUACCCGGAAUUACUGGGCGUAAAGAGUGCGUAGGUGGUCGUGUUAGUCGUCCGUCAAAACCCGAGGCUCAACCUCGGAUCCGCGAACGAAACGGCACGACUCGAGGGCGUGAGAGGUACAUGGAACUCAUGGUGUAGGGGUGAAAUCCGUUGAUAUCAUGGGGAACACCGAAAGCGAAGGCAAUGUACUGGCGCGUUCCUGACACUCAAGCACGAAAGCGUGGGUAGCGAACGGGAUUAGAUACCCGGGUAGUCC
rnacentral:rRNA from 1 species